rnacentral:rRNA from 1 species
CCAACGCCGCUGCUGGUGCCCCGACAGACUACGCUGUUGACGAUCCCUCCUUCUUGCCAGAGCAACCAGAUGCCGGAGCCCAGGAGCCAGACGCCACCGUCGACGACGACUCCUACUACACCAGAGGUGCCUACUACUACGUGCAGCCCGCUAACGACGACCAGGAGUAGUUUAGGAGGAUCCCAGGCAGGAGGCCUGCGCCUCUUUCGAUCUGUAUCCCAGUUUGUGCUAUCCUUCCUAAGGAAAACUUGUUUAACUUAUGUCUGUACUCAGAUAUUGUUGCUUCCGCUGACUCGUCUAUGA